UACAGAGGUCUCAAGCGUUGUUCGGAUUCAUUGGGCGUAAAGGGCGCGUAGGCGGCGAGGUAAGUCGGGUGUGAAAUCUCAGAGCUCAACUCUGAAACUGCACUCGAUACUGCUUUGCUAGAGGACUGGAGAGGAGAUUGGAAUUCACGGUGUAGCAGUGAAAUGCGUAGAUAUCGUGAGGAAGACCAGUGGCGAAGGCGGGUCUCUGGACAGUUCCUGACACUGAGGCACGAAGGCCAGGGGAGCAAACGGG
rnacentral:rRNA from 1 species